ensembl:lncRNA
GUGAAAUAUAUUGGAAAGAUUUAAUGGCCAAACAGAGGGACAAUCCCUUCUAAAUGUGAUAUGUGAACGAUAAUUGAACAAGAAAUAUGCCAGACUGAAGCUACACGUACAUCUCGUUUCAGGCUGUCCAUUGUGUUAGAAGUGCUAGACUGGCUCUUAUUAGUUUGAAAAGCAGUGGGUGUGUUAAAAAUAGGUUUCUAGAAAUGGUUCUUUCUGCGGGCUUUGAGGAGAUAUCAGCACUUUCCAGUCAAGAGCAUUGAGCCUAUUUUCCACAGAGAUGAUCAAAGGCCUCAUGGCAACUUCACCACUUCUUGAUCCGUCCCAAGAACAGACCAAGUAAAUCACCGAAAGGUCAUUCUCAUUGCUUUCCAGGAGAAUGAGGGCAAGAUGAGAUGUCCUUUGUAAUGACCACACCAGGGAGCCCACAAGAACAUGGCACGUAUGUCAUCCAUCCCUUUCAGUCCAACACCAUCUGAGAGCCUCACCACCAUCAGGUUCUUCUGAUCAAAAACUAGUUUGGAGGUGCCAGUUUUCAGCCACCAGAACCACCACUCACUGAUGGGAGAAGAAUUGGAGAAAAG